UCGGAUAUGGUGUAUCGGCUAGCAUCGCCCGCUUUCACCGGGCAGAGCCGGGUUCGACUCCCGGUAUCCGAA
rnacentral:tRNA from 1 species